rnacentral:rRNA from 1 species
UACAGAGGUCUCAAGCGUUUGUUCGGAUUCAUUGGGCGUAAAGGGCGCGUAGGCGGCGCAACAAGUCACUUGUGAAAUCUCCGGGCUUAACUCGGAAAGGUCAACUGAUACUGUGCGGCUAGAGUGCGGAAGGGGCAACUGGAAUUCUUGGUGUAGCGGUGAAAUGCGUAGAUAUCAAGAGGAACACCUGCGGCGAAGGCGGGUUGCUGGGCCGACACGUGACGCUGAGGCGCGAAAGCCAGGGGAGCGAACGGG